UCAAUCUCGUGCGGCUAUAUAUACCGCCGGUCCCUCUAAGAAGAUUUUCAUUGUACGCCGGUAGUGAAGACCGCGAAACGAACGACACCGACGCGCAAACGCCGAAGCCGCCCGCACGCGGACCCUCUUGAUACCGGUUGCACGUCUAUUUAAUAGGCUAGAGUUACGUUCGUUAC
rnacentral:rRNA from 1 species